AGCUCCAAAAGCGUAUAUUAAAGUUGUUGCAGUUAAAAAGCUCGUAGUUGGAUUUAGAGUAAUCAGCAAGAUUUCAUUUUGACAACGAAAUUCCUUGGCUGGCUCAUAACAUUCAGAUUACUUGCUAUGCCCUUAAUUGGGUGUGGUAAUUAGCUGAAAAUUUUACUUUGAAAAAAUUAGAGUGCUCAAAGCAGGUUUUAGCCUGAAUAAUGUUGCAUGGAAUAAUAAAAUAGGACUUCGGUUCUGUUUGUUGGUUUUGGGAACUUGAGGUAAUGGUUAAAAGGAACGGCCGAGGGCAUCCGUAUUGUAGCGCUAGAGGUGAAAUUCUUGGACCGCUGCAAGACGAACAAUGGCGAAAGCAUUUGCCAAGAAUGUUUUCA
rnacentral:rRNA from 1 species